UUAAUUUGUGCCUUUAAUGAAAUUUUAAGGUUAUUUUUACGGGAUAGCAAUACAUAUUUAUGUUACUUGAUGCACAUUGAGAAUAAUGUUAACUUUUUCCAAACAUAAGCUACGUAAUAUUUAAAAUUCAUCUUUCAAAGUCUCCGUGUUAAUAUAUAUUUACAUUAUAGGGUCAUAAGCCCAUCUACUUAUAUAAGAAAUGAAAGCAUUUAGCACAAAUGUUUAUUUUACACUUAGACCAAACUGUUACCAGUGGUAUUUUGGUACUGUCCUUACUGCAAUGGAAAUAUAUUGAGAAGACUCAGCUCAUCAGUGGUGAACCUUCCUAGCCCUUUCUCCAAUUUAAUCUACCAGCCCGCUUUUUAGAACUAUAAUAUUAUAUCGGGCGAUUCUACUUAUAUAUGCUACACUGAAGGGUUGAAUCUUAGAAACGGUAUUCAAGCUUCCAUUUAUAUUUACAUUCUUAUAUUGGAUUCGGAAGAAUUUCUCUGUAAAGUUGAAUAGAAAAUAAAAUAUAGUUGAAGUGUUUGUUAUGAAUAGAUUGUAGGUAAUAGGUUCUAAAGACAGAUGAAUCUAUUGCUAGGUCAACAGCAUAUGGAUGUUGAAGGUAAUGUGGAACCAGCGCAUUACUGUUCGCAAUGAAUGUACAGCUGAGCCAAUUCUAAUCAGCGCACACUUCAAUUGCCUUCAAGAACCUACAGUACAACUGCUCUGGUGUGGAACUAACAACUAUCUACACAUAAUUAUCAUGCCGCAGCCUUGCAAAAAAUUGACAUGGACCCAGAGCAGCAGCUUUACACACCAAAGAUGCAGAAAAUUGCGACUGUUGUGAUAGAGAUGCAUGGAGACAUCUGAGGUUCUUGAUUUGACACGACAACAACAAUAUUAACUGCCUUAGAGGAACACGAUUGAGAGGUAGGUAUUACCUAUAUUAGGAAUGAUCUACCUGGAAUAAAUAAGGCAUGUAAGUCUAUCCGUGUUGAGGACAUAUGCACUACCGCGAGGGUGUAGACGCCUGGUAGUGCGGCAGUAGAUCUAUUUCACAAUAAAAGAGCGAGGUGAGAGAUGGUCCACUUUGUCGUGAUGGAUGCUCGCGACUCUUGGCCCAACUUGGAAUGAAUAAAUAUUCUGGUUCUCUGGGAGAAGGGUAAUAUAUGUCUGUUUGUUUGUUUUCAUGUGUGUGUCUUUCUGCGAGCGUGUUUUUGAGUCUGUGUGUAUUUUUGUGUGUGUACAAUUUUUGGUGUUUUUUUGCAUGUGUGUACGAAUAUGUGUUUAUGCGUGUGUGUUUUCAUGUGCUCACGAGUGUAUGUGUUUUCUGAGUGAGUGUCUGUGUGUAUGUUCGUGCUUGGGUUUGUUCGUCUGUGUUUUUGUAUGCAUAUGUGGGUUUUGUGUCUGUGUACGUGUGCGUUUGUACUAAAAACAUCAUCCUGUUAACCAGAUAAACAUUUUUAAAAGAAUGCAGCUACAGUAUCGGUGAAUAUUGUCACAAAGUAUUUAUUUUUUUAAUUUAACAGAAUAUAAUUUUUUUAUAUUCAUAUUUUGCUACUUUGUAAACUUCCCCAUUGCUUAUCUUUUGUUUAUCCUAUAUAGUUUGAUCUUGCCUGAAAUAAAUUGUCUCAUCCUGAAGGGGUGCAAACAUAACCAUUUCUUAAUAUACUUUUAAACAUUUGAUAAAGAAAUCUUUAUUCAAAUAAGCACUCACAGUUGAUGUCCAUUAGAUAUAUAUUUUAUUUAUCCUCAUUGUUCUAUAAAAACAGAAUACCAUCCGACACCCAUUGGGAUACUAGCCAACCAUGAUUACCCAUUAACACAGAUUACCUGGAAAUUAUUUUUUGGCUUUCAAAGGGUACAAAAUAGAGUUCCUAUUAUGAAAUAUUAAACCUCUAUUCCAGAUAAGAAAGAAACGCUGAAGGAAAAAAAAUAAAAAUUCCAUUAAAGAUAAUUGCGUCUUAAAUAUUUCAGAACAACUUUCGGAACUCCAUCUUAGCCAACAAAGACCAGUGUUGCUGGAUGAUAAUUUUAUUUAAAACUCCGUCACAGCCGACGUAAUCACCGGAAAUGACAUAUUGAGGUUCAGUUUGCCGGUUCAGCGACUUGAAUUAAAUUUAAUCCGGAACAACAGACGGUCGAUGUUUGUUCUUUUGGUGAGGUUUGUUUUGAUUGGUUCUUGGCGUGACAGCCGAACUUUUGGAAAGUUUUGAUUUCUUAUAAUUUUUAUAUAAUUGAUUAAUUAUCUGAUAAAUAUAUAUAUAUAUAGACAUUAAAUUUGUUAUAUAUUUGAUAACAUAUUUAUCUCUGAAAUAUUUACUUUUUGACGUAGUUUUAAAGUUAAAGUUUGAAAGGUCUUGAUCGUUGAUGUUAUUUUUAUUUUUAUAUAAUUGAUUAAUUAUGUGAUAAGUAUAUAUAUAACAAUAAACAAUAAAUUCGUUUCAUAUUUUAUAACAUGUUUAUCUCUGAUAUUUUAACUUUUUGAAGUAAUUUAAAAGUUGAGGUUUGAAAGGUCUUGAUUUUUUAUGAUUCUUAUUCUAUAUAAUUGAUAAAUUCUAUUUAUGAUAUAAUAUAUGUGAUAUCUUGGGACCUCUGGGACCAGUGUUACCUGAUGCUAGACGAACCUCGAUGUCAACUCUACCGUGCAGUCGUGGUGGAAGGCGACACAGCUGGGCCAAAGGUGAAAUAAACAAACAGAGAUUCCACUAAAAGCGUCUGACGUCAAGAAGGAAUGGGAUGAGGAGAGAGAGAUUUUAGAGCAAGUGUUACCGUUGGAAUCCAAGCGAAGACUGACAAUUCUAGGGCCUCGAUUUAACACCACGACCUUGCUGCUUUUUAAUUGGCUGACCUAUUUAGGUGAUUCUUUCCUAAUUGGUGGGACUUUUUCACGUGGUAGUGGGCUAUUGGUUGACCUACUUAGGUAUUGUCUUCUGAUUGGGCCUGGCUUAUCUCUUUGACGGAAGAAUACGUCCGGUCUUGUUCCGGAAAUUCGGGGCGUUACUCUUAGCUUUUAUGGUUUCCGCGAUAUCAGAUACGCCCUGUCCUGUCAGGAAGUAUUGACUUGUAAAUUAUUUAUAGUUGGGCUGGUUUUAAGCCUCUUUUGCUAGGCCUUGCUUCGACUUCUGUCCUAAACCUGAUUUGUUUUAACCUUAACUUUCUCCUGUCUCUCUCCAUUCCUUCUAUCUGUACAGUUGCAAUACUUUAUUAGAUUCUUACGCGGUACAGAUUGAUGUUAGUUGAGGCUUUCUAUGUGCAGUACAUAAGAAGUUAUAUACAGUCAUGGGGUGGAACAUGUGGUAGUGGAUAUUGAGACUAUUUACAACAAUUCCAUGGUCUUAAAUCAUCACAGAUGGCCCCGGAUGUGAGAGGGUUCAUAUGGAGGGAUUUAAGAGAGCGGAAUAGGAAGACUGUUAUUAAGGAAGUAAUUUUUAAAAAUUAAUUGAAAUGAGUUGGUAUAUAACAUGGGGUUGAUUUCUGUAUAUCCAUAAGAGAUAAUAAAACAUAAACAACUAAUAUUAAACAUACAAGUAAAAAUAAAAAUAUGAAUAAAAUAUUUAAUAGGGAACAUAUAAUGAUUAUAGGUAAAAAUAUAAAUGAUUGGAUGGGUAAAUCAUGAUCUUUUCGUGAUGGGCGUUAGAAAGGGUUGAGGGGUUAGUUAUUACUUGGUUGAGGCAAGGUCACUUUGACUCAAGUCCCAAACCAUUUAAUGUGCACGGCGCGGAAAACCUAGGCCAUGUUUCACAUGUAAAUUUAAGGACCUAAUAAAGUUACAGUACCACAAUCGAAAAGUAAGAUAAGGGGAUUGUUAUGGGUUUUAGUAAUUAGUCGUUAAGACGUACGCAUGCAGGAUAAAUGAGGGCGAAGAUCAGUGACCAGAAAUCAAAGUUUUAAUUAUAGUCGUCAGGGGCUUAGCGAGAAAAAGAGUAAAAUAAUAAAAAAAAAAUGUGCCAGCGUGUGGCAUGAGAGUGCCCUGGAAUAAAAAAAAAAUACAAUUUGCACGUAUCCAAGCCAGAAGUUGGGAUAAGGUAAAUCUGGGGGACGAUGUGUCAAGAUUGUUAAUUACGAAAUCAAAGUAGGUCAAGUCUAGCCUGCGAAGGAGUUAAAAGUUCCUGCGGAAAAGGAAUGUUAGUAAUUCUUACGAAGUAACCUUUAAAGUGGUUGUUUAAGAGGUUAUUGAAAAUUGCCCUGUUUUUAGAUCGUGAUUUUUAGUUUGAUUAUAAAAGAAUAUAUCAUUGAGAUAUGAAAUUGCGAAAGUAAGGCUUUGCAUAUAGCGUUAAAGGAUUUGAAAAAUCGAAAAUAGAAUUGCGAAGUUAAAUGCAAAGUAAUCUUUAAAAAAAAAGUAAAAAUAGUGAUGAUAUGAUACAAAGAUUAACACACUACAGCAGUAUAUAAGGGGUAAUAGAAAGUGAAAAUAUUAAAUGAAAAAAAAAAAAUAAUGAGCAAUAAUAUACUCGAUAGCAUUGACAUUAAUUAAUUAAUUAACUUUAUUAACAUCAUGAAACGCGAUAUCCCAAACUCAGGGAUAUUUGCGCCAAUACAUUUCACUGCAUUACAGCAAUUCGGCUAUAUACAAUCCUGUUCAAUUCAUUAUUUUACAUAAAUUAACUAAAGAAAAUUGUCCAAAGAGAAAAACAAACAACAAAGCAAAACACACAGAGCAAGCAUCGCAGUUCUUUUUUUUUUUUUUCUAAGAUUCCUUCUCUUUUUUCCAAUUCAAGAGAAAGUUGUAUAUGUAUUUACAAAAUUGAUCAAAAUUUUUAUACUUUUCUUUUUUGUCUACAAAUUCAUCAAGCUGUCCAAUACGACCAAAUCUAUUUUCCCUAAAAUCCCGGAAAAUUGGGCACUCCAGAAGUAGAUGUCUCGCGUCUUGAAUUUCACCUCCGCAGAAGCAUCCUGGUUCCUUCACGGCGCCGAUAGUUGCCAAAAAUUUCCCAAAAUUGCCAUGAUCUGUAAUGAAUUGGAUAUUAUAAAAAUUUGGACGGAAAAAUCUUGGAAUUUCUAAUACGAAAAAGCUUCUGAAAAUUUCAUUAGUGUUCUCAAAAAUUUCAUUCAUUUUUGCGUGUAAGAAUGAUUUGACUAUACUUGGAGCAUGGGGUUCGUAAGUAAUUAGAUCUUCAAUGGACAUUUGAGCUAGAUCAAAUUUGAUUAUUCUGGAUUCUAUAUAAUCUGUUAGGAGUGGAAUUUUUGCCAAGCUAUGCACACAGUUUGAUGAAGUGGUUUUGUAUGCUCUAACUGCCCAUAAAAUGAUCUGGUACUGCAUGGAGUUCAGUUUUUGUUUACAACGAUUGUUUAAAUAUUUGAACCAAAUUUCAGAACCGUAUGUAAGUACAGGCCUAAUGAUUGUUUUGAAUAAAGUUAACCUCUUUUCAGUGUCUAAACCCCACAUAUUGCCACUUAGUGAACACAAUAAAUUUUUCAUACGUCCUGCCUUACACAGAAUAUCAUUAACAUGCGGUGUAAAGUUAACUUUGUUUUUCCAUUUGUGAUUAGAAAAUUUCAUUCCCAGAAUUUUUACUUGCUUGACCGGCAUUAUUAUAUUGUUAUUAACCUUAAUAGGUAUUUUUUGUCUGUUAUGUAGGUAUAGCAUAUUAGUCUUCUCUGUACUGAUCGUUAAUUUAUUUCUAUUACACCAUUGGAUCACAUAAUUUAAGGUGUAUUCACUUGCGGUUUUUAGUCCUUCAAUAGUCUUAUUCCAGCAAAUUAUUGUAACGUCGUCUGCAUAGCAUAUAAUAUCUGCAUUCAUUGAAUCAAAAUUUAUCAACAAAUCAUUUAGCAAAAUAUUCCAUAGAAGUGGAGAUAAAGGUCCACCCUGUGGACAUCCUUUAGUUAGUUUCUUAUAAAAAGUUUCUGAUUCGUAUGUAAAUUUCACCUCCCUUUCAUUAUUCAAAUAAGAUUUUAUGAUCCGUAUUAAAUCUGAAGGAACAUCAUCAUUAUCCAUUCUUUUUAUAAUAGCAGGCCACCAUGACAUGGUAGCGGAAGGUGAAACAAUGUAAAUAACAUCUAAUUUAUAAAGUGAGAAAAAAUAUAAAAUGAUAAAUGCAAAUUAGUGAUAUAAACAUGAAAUAUAAACUUGAGAUUAUUAGAUAUGAUAUGAAAGAUAAAAUAUAAAGUUGAUUAUAAAAUAGAGUCAUAAAGCAAAAGUAAAUAAGUUUUGAUAAAGAAAAAUAAAAAAAAGACAAUAAUCUAAACUAAUUGGUUGACGUAAAAAAAAACAAUUAUAAGAGCUAUAUAAUGAUUAUAUAAAGGAUAUUAAAAUGAAAAUUUUUUAAAAAAUGUUCAUCGAGAAGGAAGAGCAAGUAAGAUUAUAUAUAGAAAUUAUAUAUCGUGAAAGAAUGGAAAGUUGUAGGCCAAACGUAAUGUACCUGUUUUUUUUUUUUUUUAGGAUGGGUAGAGAGAGCUUUAAAUUGUCCUCGAUUGAUAUCUUUGGUCUUGUUGGCCUAAGUUUUUCUAACUUAUCGAAUUUGUUUUAUGUUUGACGCGACUCGUGGAUCACAUUGUUUCCAGUUGUGAAACUAACUGAGUCCUAAUGUUGUCGAUUUUUUUUUUUUUUUUUUUUUUAAACUUAUGUGGGUGUGUGUGAUUUUUGUAAGUAAAAUGUUGUCCUUGGAUCUAAGUGUCGAUGUUAAGUUGACAAGUUAAUUGAGGGCGAGAGAAUGUUAGUGAACAGAUUUGUUAGUAAAUGUACGCACUAAUGUUUAAUUUAAUAGGUAGCGAAAAUCCAUUAGAGUGACAUCGGGGUGGUGACGGAUGUAACAAGAUGUCGGCUGUUUGUUUGCUCGGGGGGGCGAGGGGGAGCGAACCUAUUUUUAAUGUGAUUCCGGAUUUAGGUCAGAUGGCCUUUGCGAGGCUGCUUGUUUCUUCCAACUUAUUGGAUUUGUUAAUUCGAACUACGUUCGGAGAUUUUAUUUCUAUAAUUGUAAACGCAAAAGCGUUUUGAUUUGUCACGUUUGGUGACAAGCGUUAUGGGAUUGACAUAGAGAUAUACAGAGGUUGAAUUAUUCCGUGUGUUCAAGCAUUUGUUAGAUUUGUGUUUGUAUUUCGAAAAUCCGGAUAUUGUAUCUGUUGAUAUUAAAUCGACUGGUUGUUGUGUUUCGAUAUUUUGCGGACUUAGUAAAAAUGUUAUUCAUGGAUAUCGGGUUAGAAUUGAAUGAAAUUGCGACUAUCUACGUGGACAAUGUGUGGUUAAAUAAAUGUGUCACAGGCGUGAUGAAGGCGUCUUUGGCCUGAAAAUUGAAAGAGUUUAGUGGUGUGGCGCUGUGACACGAAGCGAAAAAAUUGUAAAUGAAAAGGUGUCACGUGAGGUCUUUGUUUUGUACAAAAUCUAACCUGUUACACUAAGAAUAACAAAUUUACUAAAGUCAUGGUUGUUGGUUGUACGAACAUAUCGAUAAUUUUUAUAUUGUUAGUGGAUAUGACACGUUUAAUGUGAGAAAAAAAAAAAGAUUGUGUGUGUUUAGUAGGGCGACGUAAUAAAGCUUUUGUGGCUCGAAAUUAGAUUUGGGUGUGAAGUCGCGCAUUAAAAAUUUGUUAAUUAGAAAAAGUGAUGUGAGAGGGUGUUGUUUAUUUUGUUGAGAGUGAUUUGUCGAUAUUUAACUAUGCGUGUAAAAGGAAGGUACGAGGGAGUGUAGUUAUGUGGGAAUUUAACGAUUGGAAUAGUUUUGGACGGCUGUGAUUUAAGUUACUUCUGUCCAAAGAUAUGAAAGAAAAGGACAUAGGGGCGUUGAAAAUGGGAUUAGGAACAUUAUAAUGAGGUUAAAUAAGAGUGUUGGAGUUCACCACGUGUGAGCAACUCGGUUCCAGGAGGGGAAAAUUUAGAAAAUGGGACAGUUGUAUUAACCUGUCCAUGGGACACGUGUUGCUUGCACGAGGUGAAUUUGUACAAGGUAGUUGGUAGAGGUACAUUAUCUUGAUACAGGAGUAGCUGAGAACAGUUUAUAAUUAGUAGAAAUCUUUUUAUGGAGUUAAGGGAUAAUAUGAUAAAAGGCAAGGGGGUAUCUAUAAUAUGGAAUUUUAGAUUCUGCGUUAUGUUAACUAUUUUUACGUUUAAAAAGAUAUAACCUAUGGUGAAAACAUUGUUAGAUAUGGCGUUAAUAGUUAAGUUAAAUGGAUGGACAGGUAUUUUUCUUUUACAAACUGAUUUCUAUUAUUUUAAAGUAUUCUGCCUAAUUAUAGCGAUAGAUGCUUCUGUAUCAAGUAGUAGAGUAGGUUUACAUUAUUGGACAGUGUGUUCAGCUCGAACGAGCAAUAGUUCAACAAAAGUUAUGUAUGGAGGAACCUACUGUUGUGCUGUCUUGUAUGUCGGGACAGUCCUGGUCUUGUGCCAUGGUUGGAGGAUCUUUGGGAAGGUCAGAGUUCAUUGUUUGCGCUGGGCUCGUGGUUUAGAGAUGGUCGGGGGAGCAGGUAACAUACGCUCGCGUGUUGGUAACUCGGAGGGGUGCUUGCAGGAGGUUUGCUGGCUUUCUCAGUCUUGUAGAGUAUUGUAGUUGGGCCCGAUCUGCUUGGGCGUCGUAGUUGGUGAAGAAGCUCUGCGCCUCGUACGAACCAUCGUAGCGAUUCCACCUCUCGCGAUGUCCGGUCACGGCAGAGAGCUGAUGUAGCGUCGUCGUCAACCUCCCUAAGACAUCUGACACCGGCGGCGGGGGUGUGACGUCUUCCUGACUGGGGACAAUUUCCUGCGUCCUACCGAGAGUGUUUUCUUUCUUCGGAAAAGUGGGGCUUCCGCCACUUUCGUAGUCGGGAUCGGUCUUCAUGGGCUCCUUUGAGUCCUCCUCUCUUCCCUGUUCCAUCUUUCUGUACAGACAGUGGUCUAUUUGCUUACUUGUACCUUGGCGUCCACUAUCCUGUCGACUCUUCGUUACGGGGGAGUCUGUGAUAUCUUGGGACCUCUGGGACCAGUGUUACCUGAUGCUAGACGAACCUCGAUGUCAACUCUACCGUGCAGUCGUGGUGGAAGGCGACACAGCUGGGCCAAAGGUGAAAUAACGUCUGACGUCAAGAAGGAAUGGGAUGAGGAGAGAGAGAUUUUAGAGCAAGUGUUACCGUUGGAAUCCAAGCGAAGACUGACAAUUCUAGGGCCUCGAUUUAACACCACGACCUUGCUGCUUUUUAAUUGGCUGACCUAUUUAGGUGAUUCUUUCCUAAUUGGUGGGACUUUUUCACGUGGUAGUGGGCUAUUGGUUGACCUACUUAGGUAUUGUCUUCUGAUUGGGCCUGGCUUAUCUCUUUGACGGAAGAAUACGUCCGGUCUUGUUCCGGAAAUUCGGGGCGUUACUCUUAGCUUUUAUGGUUUCCGCGAUAUCAGAUACGCCCUGUCCUGUCAGGAAGUAUUGACUUGUAAAUUAUUUAUAGUUGGGCUGGUUUUAAGCCUCUUUUGCUAGGCCUUGCUUCGACUUCUGUCCUAAACCUGAUUUGUUUUAACCUUAACUUUCUCCUGUCUCUCUCCAUUCCUUCUAUCUGUACAGUUGCAAUACUUUAUUAGAUUCUUACGCGGUACAGAUUGAUGUUAGUUGAGGCUUUCUAUGUGCAGUACAUAAGAAGUUGUAUACAGUCAUGGGGUGGAACAUGUGGUAGUGGAUAUUGAGACUAUUUACAACAAUUCCAUGGUCUUAAAUCAUCACAUAUAUAUAUGAUAAUAUACACAAUUGUCUUCCAUAUUUUUUGACAUGUUUAUCUAUGAAUUUUUACUUUUUUACGUAGUUUAAAAGUUGAAGUUUUAAAGGCUUUGAUUGUUUAUGAUUCGUAUUGUAUAUAAUUGAUAAAUUCUAUUAAUUAUAGAUGUUAUCUCCACUUAGAGGACUGUAUUUUGCUCCUAUAAAGCUCCACUCUACUGCCGUCUAUCUCGUGAAUUCUUUUCCGGCCAACGGCAACACGGAAGCACAAGCAAGCACACUGAUACUCUGAGCUACUUUAUUUUCACAAUCUUACAAUUUAUACAUUUGCAUGACACGUGGUCAACGGUCAAACAAAAUUAAAAAAAAAACAUUAAUAAUAAACAAUAAAUAUUCACAGAUAUAUACAUUUUAAUUCUCAAUAAUAUAAAAUAUAUAAUAAUAAACAAAUGUAUUUCAUAUUUGUUAACAUGUUUAUCUAUGAAAAUUGAAUAAAUAUAAAAUAAAACAAGAAACUCAUUUUUGGAAGCCAUUUUGUUUAUUAUUCAAAUGUAUUGUCAACUUAGAUGCAUAUACCUGUGGCUAGAAUAUAUAUAUUAUAACGCUUAUUUUGGAUCAAAAUAUUUAUUAUAACUUCCAAUAAUUCGAUAAUAUAUAAUUAUUUUUUUAAUUAUUCGAUAUUUUUCACUCACACACAGUUUUGAUAAAAUAUUAUAUUUGCAUCUCUUUACUCUUACAAAUUCCUAUUACAACGUCUUUUAUAUUUCUCAUAUUACCUUUGAAUUUCCAUUUACCCUCUUCUCGCUACUCAAGCUUAUACUUCUACUGGAUGAUCAGUAUCUUAUCUAUACAUUAGUGUAGAUAGCGUCUAGGUUGUCUGAAUUGUAAAAGAAGUUUGUGUAGAGUGGGCAUUGCCAUCACAGAUAUGUGUAAAUUUCUUAUAGAUGUUGUGUAAUUAAAGUAAGUAAGAAGGACUUAACCAAUUUAACUUUACAUAUUAUUAUGUAACAUAGGUGUUUUGACGGGAGAGGCGACCUUUGUCUCUUUAGAUCAAUAUGCUCCCGGUAAAAUUUCCAUCUAAAUUUUAGCCAUAGAUAUGGCCCAGCCACUUUGGCAGCUAAACACCUCUUUGGCGGAUUGUCAAGAUUCCAUUAGAUCCCGUGUGGAUCUCAUGGAAUAAAGUCCGCCCUAGACUGACGAGGGCCAUUAGCCCGAAACCAUGGUCUCUAGGUGGACGCUUUUCAGUUUGCCAAAGCUGGUGUUGUGGCUUUGUCACCGACCCGAGACCGCUAGUUUGCGGUGACGGUCAAUAUUUAGCGUCUAGUUUUGACGUCUGUUUUGACGGGAGAGGCGACCUUUGUCUCUUUAGAUCAAUAUCCUCCCGGUAAAAUUUCCAUCAAUAUUAUUUAUUAUUAAUAUCAAUUAUACAAAACAAAUCUUGAUAUACAUGUCUACAUGUGAACAACAAAAAGAAUAAACAUUAUAUCCAUACAAAUUCCUUUUCAAACACGAGCUCAUCUAUAGCCAUUGUUACUCUGUGUAGUAUUCCAACAAUAGAAACAGGCCAAAGUGUCCAUUCAUUUUUGAAGAGUAUUCUGCUAUGUUAGUCCAAAUCUCACUAUAGCUCUGGAACUAAAGGAAAAACAGUUUUGUUGAACGUUAAGCCUGAUUCCAGAUGACGUAGUUAACGAUCCCUAACUAGAUGUUAAACCAUUACUGGAGGGAAAAUAAUUUACGAUGAUGUAUCUAACCCAGCUAUUACUGCAUUUUUAACCCCACUUCAUAAAUAACGCCAUGAAUUAGUAAAGGCCAUUGAUCUGGCCACACAGGUAAAUAGAACGCCCCUGCCAUCCAUUACAGAAAUUGUUCCGUUCAUCCACCAGACGGCUCGCAGAGUAGCCCAGACAUCCUGCAAGAUCUUGAUAAAAUCUUUAACUCUCUCUGGAGCGUGUUUUCUAUUAAAAGUAAUAUCUGAUCUCACAUGAUAUCAGAGUAAAAUUCAACGAUAAUACUGAAUUUUAUAUCAGGAAUAGGAUAUCUAGGAAUCUCCUUUCAUAAUAUUAUGAAUAUAUAAAGUAUUUUAUUUACUUCUCCUGACGAAGUCAAAAGAUAUUUGUCAAAACGUUGAGAAAAUAAAAAAAAACUCUAACUGGCCGAAGUAUCUAUUUUACAUAUAAAUAUAAAAAGUAUUUUAACGUUGAAUUUGAUUUAUAACGUUCUCUCAUACAUAAAUAAUUAAGGCUUUGAAGAAUUAUUCAAUCUGCAAUGUUUAAUAUUUCCAGGACUCUUUAAGAUUUGUCGCUUCAACGUAAAUGACAACUUAGAAGCCAAUGUCAAACUGUACAAAAAAAGAUGGAUAAACAAAUUAAUUUUGAAUUGAAGAAGACACCUUAUGUUGAGCCAAAUGAAAAAAUAAAUUGUAAAAAGGGGAAAAUUCGUGAAGCAAAGGGUUUCUUGUAAGAAUUCAAGAAAUUCUUAACGUCACGAUUUUCUUCUUUUUAUAAUUCACUGAUCAAGGCGACUGUCCUCAGCAAAUAUAAAUGAUACCUAGCAUGUAAGGUAUUAAAACAUAUAAUUCCAUAACCUAAUACACCUAUAUCGACAAUUAAAGAUAAUAAAUAUCCAAAGAGCCAUGGUAAACCAAAUAUAUUUACCCUGUGUACAAAAUGAAAUAAAAAAGAAUACAUUGACAAAGAUCUAUAAGAUACAAAAGGAAGCAAACCAAUGCUCUAAAAGGUUUAACCAAAUCAAAGACAAUGGAUAUCCAAUACCUGAACAAAUUUAAAAUUAAACCAUACAUAACUUAGCAUUGAGAAAAAACAAUGCCUAAGCAAAGUUAGAGUAAACCAAAUGCAAUGCCCAAAUAUAGGCAUAAACAAUACCUGAAAAUAUAAGUGCACUAAAUACAACAGAAAAAAAGAAAAAGGGGGCAUCUCCUUAUGGGGCAACUGAAAUUCACACUAAAUACAACAUCUAACAUGAGUGUUGUGGGAACUAGGUAAAUCAUCUUUACGAUCUAACCUGAGACACUAGUAAGCAAUUUACACUUAUGGACAGAACUUAAGGAAGGUGUAUCUUUCAGCAUGUAUAUAGGGAUUCAGACAAUAACUAUGAAAUAUAUUACAGUGACCUUAUUGAAGACACACGAGAUAACCAAGUGUGAACAAAAUUUCCCCUGUCUCCUUUAAAUAAACAGACAACUGGCAUUUGAAAAUAUGAAACUUCUUUAAGUUUUGUCCAUAAGUGUAAA